GACGAACGCUGGCGGCGUGCUUAACACAUGCAAGUCGAACGGAAAGGCCCUGCUUUUGUGGGGUGCUCGAGUGGCGAACGGGUGAGUAACACGUGAGUAACCUGCCCUUGACUUUGGGAUAACUUCAGGAAACUGGGGCUAAUACCGGAUAGGAGCUCCUGCUGCAUGGUGGGGGUUGGAAAGUUUCGGCGGUUGGGGAUGGGCUCGGGGCUUAUCAGCUUGUUGGGGGGGUAGUGGCUUACCAAGGCUUUGACGGGUAGCCGGCCUGAGAGGGUGACCGGCGACAUUGGGACUGAGGUACGGCCCAGACUCCUACGGGAGGCAGCAGUGGGGAAUAUUGCACAAUGGGCGGAAGCCUGAUGCAGCAACGCCGCGUGCGGGAUGACGGCCUUCGGGUUGUAAACCGCUUUCGCCUGUGACGAAGCGUGAGUGACGGUAAUGGGUAAAGAAGCACCGGCUAACUACGUG
rnacentral:rRNA from 1 species